AUUGAACGCUGGCGGCAGGCUUAACACAUGCAAGUCGAGCGGGGGGAGGUAGCUUGCUACCUAACCUAGCGGCGGACGGGUGAGUAAUGCUUAGGAAUCUGCCUAUUAGUGGGGGACAACAUUUCGAAAGGGAUGCUAAUACCGCAUACGCCCUAAGGGGGAAAGCAGGGGAUCUUCGGACCUUGCGCUAAUAGAUGAGCCUAAGUCGGAUUAGCUAGUUGGUGGGGUAAAGGCCUACCAAGGCGACGAUCCGUAGCGGGUCUGAGAGGAUGAUCCGCCAACCUGGGACUGAGACCCGGCCCAGACUCCUACGGGAGGCAGCAGUGGGGAAUAUUGGACAAUGGGGGGAACCCUGAUCCAGCCAUGCCGCGUGUGUGAAGAAGGCCUUUUGGUUGUAAAGCACUUUAAGCGAGGAGGAGGCUACCGAGAUUAAUACUCUUGGAUAGUGGACGUUACUCACAGAAUAAGCACCGGCUAACUCUGUGCCAGCCGCCGCGGUAAAAC
rnacentral:rRNA from 1 species